UCCUCUGCUCCCUCCCCCCUCGUUGCCAUGCGCUAUAAAUCCCUCCUUCCCCGAAUCUCUCGUCGAAGCAAAUGCAGCAGAGGUUCCUGAAUGGCAUCCAGGGGAAGGUCGAAUCUUGUGGGUGUGAAUGGAGGCCGAGGAGUCGGAGGCCUGAACAAUGCCCGCUUGGGUGUCGCGGUGGGUGAGGGGUCGGGCCUGAAGCACAACCCGGGCUCGUCGACGUAUUGGACGGAGGCGGAGCGGGCCAUUUUCGAGGAAGGCGUUAUAGAAUUUGCUUCAGAACCGAGCAUCGACCAAUAUGCCACGAUUGCCAAGAAGUUGCCAAAUAAAACAAUUCGAGAUGUGGCCGUGCGCUACCAAUCACUGACUGCUUUAACCAAAAUGCUGCAGACUUGUUUAUCCGACCAGUGACUAUUGUGGACAACAAAACACAAACUGGAAAGG